ensembl:lncRNA
UUUUUUUUUUUUUUCUUUCCCAGGGCUGCACUUGAAGCAUAUGGAAGUUCCUGGGCUAGGGGCAGAAUUGGAGCCACAGCUUGCAGCUACAGAUCCUUAACCCACUGAGCAAGACCAGGAAUCGAACCCCCAUACUCAUGGAGACGAUGUUGGGUUCUUAACCUGCUAAGUCACAAUGGAAACUCCAUAAUUAUGCCCACCUCUUAUAGAAAGGAUUUGACAUGGCUUACAAAGAUCUGUAAACGUACUCCUACAAGGCGGUACCAUAGUUAAUGAAACAGCAGAACCAUAGUCUGAGCCCUGGUCUAUGCACUUCAAGGCUGGUGCAUUCAAAACCAGUGGAAUUCAAUCAGCUGGGGUGAAGGGGCGGGUGUCUCUCUACUGUGUCAAAACUGUGCCAGACACUCUUUCUGCCUCUUUCUCUUUAGACACCCCCUUCCCAGAAUGCUUUCCUUGCCCCCUCUGCCAGUUCCAUGACUUGAAUAAACUUCACUUAUGUUGUAGAAUAAAGACUAUGGCUCAUCUUGGUCGCUUGUUCCUGGGAGAUAACUUCUAAAUCCUUAGAAUUUCCCAAGUGACAGGAGUAACUUUGUUAUUCCUGCUGGACCUGGGGUUAUGCUAGUGGUCACUCCUGUGGGUACCUACGUGUUUUAGGAUGGGGGGCUGGCUAUGCCUGAAAGACCAACAUGUGAUGAAAGGGUUGGGGCUUUGAGCCACAUAAUAUCAGCCUGACUUCUAAGGAGGGUCAGGGAGCUGGGGACUGAGUUCAGUCAUGUGGGCAAUGAUUCAAUCAAUCAUGCCUUCCCCGAGAUACCCCAAUAAAAACCCUCUGGACACCAAGCAGGGUGAGCUUCCUGGUUGGUGGUCAUAUGUUAAUGUGCCAAGAGGGCAAGGCAAACUGAGGACACAGAAGCUUAGCAUUGGGGACCCUUCCAGAUCUCACCCUAUGCAUCUCUUCAUUUGGCCAGUCUUGAUUGGCAUCAUCUUCAAUAAAACUGUAAUCAUAAGUACAGCAUUUUCCUGAGUUCCAUGAGUCAUUCAAGUGAAUUAUUGACCCUAAGAGGAUCAGGUGAGAACCCCUGAAAUUUAUAGACAGCUGGACAGAAGUUGCAGUGGUCUGGGAAGCCCAGAGCUUGUGGAACCUUCUGGAGUCUAAAGAGCUCUGGGCUAACUCUGGGAGUCAGUGUCAGAACUGUGUGGCCAGUGAACCCACACGUGGCACUGAAGACAGGCCAGCUAAUGUUUUAAGUGCUGUAUACACACUACCUCAUUUAAUCCUCAUGGCAGUCCUUUGUAGGUGGUAUUAUUAUUAUUAUUGUUAUUAUUUUCAUUUUACAGAUGAGGAGACUGAGGCAGAGAGGCUAAAUGCCCGGCCCGUUUGGGGCAGAAACAACCGGGUACAGUGGGUGAUGAGAGCAUGGGGAAGGACCAUCCGGGAGAAGGAAGAGGGGAGCCACACUCACUCUAACCGGUCAUAUGGCCGUUGCAUUUCCUCAAACACGUUUAACGAAUCCGGAUGGAGCCUUUCAGUGAGCCCGGCACAGUGCUAGGAGCUGGGACAUAGCUCUGAGGGAGGGGGCAGGCGACCUGCGGGGCCAAUAUUAAAGCCCCGCGCAAUUACUCUUCUCCACUGCUGUUGCAUUAUAGCCUGCAGGUAUACCUUCCAGUUGUUUGAUUGUAGUAUUUUGCCCACUGCUGAGCUGUGUUGUUCUCUGAGACGACCAGGUCCAGGGUACGCCUCUGUUCCUUUCUCCUCUUUUGCAGAAAUCCGUAAAGUGCAGCAUAGGCAGCAAAGAGAGCCGUCCUGCUCCAAAGCUUGUCUCCCCUCAAGCAGUUUCUGGAGCAGCUCCAUCCCUUGGAAGAGCCUCGCUUUACGGGGAGGGGCUGCGGGAGAGGGGGACAGAGCCGACCAAUCGGAAGGCAGGAUUCUCCAGCACCACACUAGUCCCACCUCCAGAAAACUGGACAAGGGGAGGCACAAAGACACAGGCACGAGCUUUUCUUUGGAUGAACCUCCUCUAUGUUCGAUUGUCAUCCAAGCCACAGACAGGUGUAGUAUAAUGGUUCUCAUGGUGGGGUUGCCACACCAGAUCUCUUGAAUCAGAAACUCUAAUGCGACCCCAGCAAUUCUGUGUUUUGAGAAGCCCGAGGCGAUUCCCACGCAUGCUGAGACCCAAGGCUUUCAGGCAACAGCUGUCACUCACACCCUCUAACUUCUGACCGUGACAGUCAGCUCUACAGUUCUUUCAUCCCUCACGGGGUUCAGUCGGACGCUGAACAGUUAAGAACUGCAAAGCUGGUGAGGCCAAUCAGAUGAUUAAACAUCUCUAAGGGCCUUUAAGAUAGGGUGUGUGUGUUGCAGGAGGUUGGGGAAAAUGGGGCAGUGGAGGAAGAAUAACCCACAUUGCAGGAGACUAGUCCCUGGACUGAGCCAAAGAAACUCUGGAAUUUGCAGUCAGAUGGCUGGAAGUUUGUGGCCUCAGUCAGAGGCCUGGGGCCUUUUUGUUCAGAGCGAUGCCUUGUCAGGUUAGUUGUAUGGCUACUGUAGUUCAAGCUUAACUUGGACAGACAGGCCUGCCAGGCACAAAUUUCUCAAGCAGAUUAUGUUUAGGGCAAGGCGGAGAGAGGUUGGGGACAAAAAUCAUCCCCUGCAAGACCUCGAGGACAGAUGACCCUCAGCAGGAUGGGCAGGCGGGGUCUGCAGGACUCCUGGGUCCUGGCUAGCCCUGGGGACUCAGCCUCUCUCAAGUGGAAGAGACAUCACGCGUGCACAAGCCGUCGGAUUAACUCGCCAGGCUGGAAGAGAUGUGAAGCUUUCAUUUUCCCCGCAAGAAACACAAACUUAAAAGAUGAAAAUAUGCCCAAGGGAACUGCGAUAACGGGAGGAGAAACUUUUGAGACAUGGUAGCAAAAAACGGCCAACAUGGCCAAUCCCCUGACUGCCCGCCUCCCUUCUUCUGGCCACGCUCCUAAGUGAAUGAUGAGUUUGGUUGGAUUCGCCAGCAAUCGGAAUUAGUUUUAUUCACCAGCAAUAUGGGGAAUAAAGGCAGGGCCUGCAGGAAUGUGGGCCCCAGGAACAAGUCGUCAUUACUGCAAAAUCAAAUUCCCCACCUCAUCUCUGAUAUGCCUGAAUGUAACCCUAGAGGUGGGCGUCCUUCCCUGUGAUAAAUCCAGCCGACGAGACUUGGGGCAGUGGGAUAGCGGCCCCGGCGUGUCUAAAACCUCGGCACAGCCAGAUGCAAGACGGCAACUUUCUUCCCAUUUGCUUUUGCAGUAAAAUUCACCCAGAGCUCCAGGACGAGUUGGGAAUGUAAUUCUGCUUCAAUAAAUCACGACUAAAAUGAAGAUGCCUAGAUAUGUAGCAGCCUACUCCUGUGUGCGGAGAAUUCAAAAUUUAGUGCCCUGGUCACCGAUAGGGACAGGUUAUCUAAUGGGGAGAGAUAAGAAAUAUUGCUCUCUGGGGUUAAAAAGCUAAAUGUCUGAAAGUUUGUGUGACAUCUUACUCUUUUUUUUUUUUUUCAAGGAAUGAAGUCAGAUGUUAGAAAAAGUAUAUAUAAAUAAAUGAAAAAGCUAUCCCUCACAAUAAUUCUAAUUUGACUGCCUGUGAAAUAGUUGGCUAUUUCAUCUUUUGGUGUGAUAUAUGUGUACCUGAUUGUAAUAGGUCUGUUCAUGCCUAAUACCUCUGCUUAAAUUUUUUUUUUUGUCUUUUGUUUUUUUAGGGCCACACCCACGGCAAAUGGAAGCUGCCAGGCUAGAGGAUCAAUCGGGGCUGUAGCUGCUGGCCUACAACACAGCCACAGCAACGCGGGAUCCAAGCCGCAUCUGUGACCUACACCACAGCUCACGGCAACGCUGGAUCC